rnacentral:rRNA from 1 species
GCGGCGUGCUUUACACAUGCAAGUCGAACGGCAGCACGGGUGCUUGCACCUGGUGGCGAGUGGCGAACGGGUGAGUAAUACAUCGAGACGUACCAAGUAGAGUGGGAUAACCGAUCGAAAGAUUGGCUAAUACCGCAUAAACUCUGAGGAGGAAAGGUGGGGACCAGAGAUGGCCUGUCGCUAUUUGAGCGGUCGAUGGUUGAUUAGCUAGUUGGUAGGGUAAAGGCUUACCAAGGCGAAGAUCGAUAGCUGUUCUGAGAGGAAGAUCAGCCACACUGGGACUGAGACACGGCCCAGACUCCUACGGGAGGCAGCAGUGGGGAAUAUUGGACAAUGGGGGCAACCCUGAUCCAGCAACGCCGCGUGAAUGAAGAAGGCCUUCGGGUUGUAAAGUUCUUUUGUCUGGGACCAAAAGUUGCGUUAUAAAUAGUAUUUAAUGAUGAGAGCUACCACAAGAAUUAAGCCACCGG